rnacentral:rRNA from 1 species
GACGUAGGAUGCAAGCGUUAUCCGGAAUUAUUGGGCGUAAAGCGUUCGUAGGUGGUUUGUUAAGUUGGAUGUUAAAUCCCUGAGCUCAACUCAGGAUUGGUAUCCAAAACUGGCAGGCUUGAGACAGGUAGAGGUAGAUGGAACUCUGUGUGUAGGGGUAAUAUCCGUAGAUAUCGGGAGGAACACCAGUGGCGAAGGCGGCGACCUGGACAGAUAUUGACGCUGAGGUGCGAAAGCGUGGGGAGCAAACAGG